CAGAUAAAUGUCUAUUCUUGUUGACCAUUAUUGUACCAUUAAGUGGCGAGUGACAUGACUUGCAUUCUUUAUUUGUGUGUGUGGUGCAGAUGCAUUUGUGGGCUGCAGAAAGGAGAUUUCAGUGGGAGUAGCAGUGAGACAAUAAUCCACUAUCUACACUGGUCUUCUUGUAUGUUCUGCAGUUCAUCCAUAUCAUAAGGACACUCUUGACGGUCAUGGAGCUGUAUAUGAUGUGAAAAAGGUGAAAAGACUUGUGUACUUUGAGAGUAAAGCAAGUGAAAAGCACAUGAGUUUGAGUGGUUGAACCAAAAACAAAGGCCAAUAAGUAUGGGCUGUGUUCAUACAUGGAACCAAUUUAAUGUAUGGAAGGAGCAUAUAUAUAUAUAUAUAUAUGUGUGUGUGUGUGCAAACAUCCAUCAACUCCAAUUCUCAGCAGUUAUAUAAUAGCCAGGUAUCACAACCCCCUUAUUAUAAAUUAAUACAUAACAUCCUAUCCUCUUCUGCUUAUCUGCAUACCAUUCAGCCUUCACAAUCCAUCAUUCAUAUAUACAACACAGAGGGAGGUGAGGGAGAUGGGUGCUGGAUUUCGCCUCUGCAUUUGCCUCAUCUUCUUUGCAUCUGCCAUCAUCUCAUCAUCUUCAUCAUCAUCUGCCAGAAACACCAUUUCAAUCCCACCAGGGGACGAGUUGUUAAUGGUAGAAAUGGAAGGAAGGUCUAUGGAAAUGAGGGUGGAUGAUUACGGGGAAGCUACGGCCAAUCACGGCCACGAUCCCCGGAACAGAGCGGCCACCGGCAGCCGCAAAACCCGCGACACCCCUUAAAACCAUUUGAUUUGCCGAUGAUAACAGGUGGCGAUUUGAAGAUUUUACUGAUUACUCGAAGUUAAGUUUAUUAUUAUACUUGACGGUAAUAAUGUUUACCGGAUAUAUUUUAUGUAUUAGUAAACAAAAACAAUUGUAUUGCUAUGAUUUCUAUACAAUAAACAAAGUGUGUCCCUCUCUUGUUAUAUGAGGUCAUCCUUUAUACUAUAAACCUGUAAUAGUUACAAUAAUAAUAGCAACGACCUCCUAAUAA